AUUGAACGCUGGCGGCAGGCCUAACACAUGCAAGUCGAGCGAGCGGCGGACGGGUGAGUAAUGUCUGGGAAACUGCCUGAUGGAGGGGGAUAACUACUGGAAACGGUAGCUAAUACCGCAUACCAUCAGAUGUGCCCAUAUGGGAUUAGCUAGUGGGUGGGGUAACGGCUCACCUAGGCGACGAUCCCUAGCUGGUCUGAGAGGAUGAUCAUCAACACUGGAACUGAGACACGGUCCAGACUCCUACGGGAGGCAGCAGGGGGGAAUAUUGCACAAUGGGAGCAAGCCUGAUGCAGCCAUGCGACGUGUAUGAAGAAGGCCGUAGGGUUGUAAAGGACUUUCAGCGGGGAGGCGUUACCGACAGAAGAAGCACCGGCUAACUCCGUGCCAGCAGCAGCGGUAAUUC
rnacentral:rRNA from 1 species